rnacentral:lncRNA from 1 species
AAUAAUUCUCAAACAAAAUAUAAAUUAUACAUAGAUAAAGUAAUAAAUUUAAUGAGUAGUAAAAGAAUAAAAAUGAUUAAGCCUAAAACUUAUGAUUCAGAACUUUUAGCAGGAUUAGAAUGGGAUUUAGAAAAAUGUUUAGAAACUCAAGAACCAAUUUUAGCUCCUCAAGAAGCUAUAACAUAUAAAGACUUACAUGGAAGAACUAGUUUAAUGUUUGGUAAUUAUAGUCACAUAAAUAGAAAUAAUGAUUCUGAAACAGAAUCUAAUAAUACUAAUGAAGAACAACAAACAGAAAAAUUUCUUAAUGCAGUAGAAAUAGAAAUAGAAGAUAGAAUUAUAUAUCCUAAAGAAUUAAAAAUAAAAUUAUCUCCUACAGAACUUUUAAAAUUAGAAGAUCAUUUGUUUUUAAAUAAACAAAUAGGAGAAACGAAAUUUUUAUAUUAUGAUAAUUUUAAAAAUAUAAGAGUAGGAAUUAAUAUAGAAGAAAUUGAUAAUAUGACAGAAAUUUCAGAAAAUAGUAAUUAUAAGGAAUUAACAGAUGAAAUUAUGCAAACUAAAACAGUACCAGAACAAUAUCAAUACUUAGCUGGUCAUCCUCCUAGAAUACCUUAUACAAAUUAUAAUGAUAAAGAAAGAAAUUAUAUAGCUAGAGGAAAGGUUAGACUUUUAGAACCGAAAAUAGAAUUUCAAACACCACAUAAACCACAAUUAUUAAAUAUUACAGCACAUGAUCCUCAAACUUGGAAUAAUAUAAUAGAAGUAUGGAAGAAUACAAUAUUAGGUCAUUAUAUUAGAUUAGCAGAUAAUAUGGAACCAUUAGAAAUGUAUAGAUAUUUAGAAACAUUUUUAGAAGAAAGUGUUAAACUUACAUGGGAAGCUUAUAAAAAAGAUAAACAAACAGAAUUUGAAGCAUUAGUAGCAUUAGGAAAUAAUCCUUAUAACUUUUUUAGUAAAAUACAUGAAUUAUUAACAGGAGCAGAUCCAAAUACAGGACAUAUAAUAAUUCAAAGUAAAGCUAUUAGAAAUCUUGAACAACUUAGCUUAAAUAGAUGGACUAAAGGUAAAGAAGUUAAACAAUUUUUAAAUGAAUAUUAUUACCUUGUUUCUAUAUCAGGAAAUACUUUUAAUCAAGAAUUAGGAAAAAAAUUAUUCCAUAAAUUACCAGGUCCUUUAGGAUUAGAAAUAACAAAAAAGUGGAAUGAAAAUAAAAGUGUUUUAGAAAGACCAGAUCAAUUAUGGAGAAUAGGAAUGAGAACACAAUUCAUAAUGCAAUGUUUAGAAGAAAAAUGUAUUGAAUUACAAAUUCAGAAUCAACUAAAAAAGACAGAUUAUAAAUUCUGUAAAGAUAUUUAUACACCUCAGACUUAUGGUAAUAAUUUUAGAGAAAAGAAUAAAAGAAAAUAUGAUAAAAGAAAAAAUAAUCAACCUUUUAAGAAAAGAUAUUAUCUUAGAAAAUUCAAUAGAAGAAAACCUUACUUAGAUGAAAGUAGACAUGUUAGAAAAUUUAAACCAGAAAGAAAUUAUCCUAAUAAAUUAAAUUGUUAUGUUUGUGGAGAAACAGAUCACUUAGCUAAGACAUGUCCAAAAAAGAUAAAUAAUAAUGACAAAAGAAGUACUUUAGUAGAAUGUACUAAUGAAGACUUGUUAGAAAUAGAUGAAUACAUUUCAGAUAAAGAAUCAGUAUAUAGUAUUAUAUCAAUAGAAGAUUAU